UAUAGUUAACGUGUAACGCAUAAUUAUUUGUCCUACCGCAGGUCAGUGGUUCUUUCAGGGCACCCCUUCGCCACCAAAUAAAAAACGGACUGCCACAAAAUGGCCCAAUAAUUCGACAAUGCAAAAAAAAUCACUUGCUUUAAAUCAUUUUCUAAAUUAUUGCUAGAAGAUGGCGCAAUUCUAGAAGUAUAAUAGUACAUGAUGUAACCAUUUGGCUUUUAUUAUAUACCAUGUGACGAAACAUAACCAGAUAUGUGUAUUUUUUUGUUUUCAUUUUGUGCAUUAUUUUAUUGUCUAGUCACGUGAUUUUAUUGUUAUUCAACAA
rnacentral:lncRNA from 1 species